UUAAAUUGAAGAGUUUGAUCAUGGCUCAGAUUGAACGCUGGCGGUAGGCCUAACACAUGCAAGUCGAACGGUAACAGGAAGAAGCUUGCUUCUUUGCUG
rnacentral:rRNA from 1 species